rnacentral:lncRNA from 1 species
GGCAGAGCCGGGGUGCCGGGUGGGGGCAGGCUCGGGGGCCUGCCUGCGGUGAAUCAGGCUUGUGACCUCAGGCCGUCCAGGUAAACAUCCUCUGCGCUUUGGAAACUGUUGGGACUAGAAAGGAGCGGGCGGCAGGGAGAGGGAAGGGGGAAGGAGGGAUUCUGAGUGGAGGAGACCUCUGAAAUCCUCUCUCCUGCCAGGAAACCAGGGCGGUCUUCCAAGCGGGCAGCCACGUUGCCUACUUGAGGCCAAGGCAGAAGCAUCAAUCACAUGGGGCGUAGUUUCUGUCUGGCUAAAGAACGGCUCACGCGGACCUCGGGAAUGCGACUGUGGAAACGACGGGGAAGCUGGAAGGGCUGGGUGGCGGGGGAAGCUGGAGGGCACAGCUUCCAGAUUCCAGUUUGUUAAGAAUCACCUGAAGGACGUUUCUCUGAAGGGAAAGUGGGCAUCUGUGAAGGGUUAGAGGCACAUACUUCAACUUUCCCUAGCACAAGAGUGGAAAUCCAUACUCCUUGGGGAGGGACUUUGUCACUGAACCUUAAGAAAAUGGUUACUGGACUGAGCUUGGUUACUUAUGCCUGUAAUCCUGACGUUUUGGUAGAUGGAAGUGGGAGCAUCGAUUGAGGCCAGGAGUUCUAGCCUAGGCAAUGUAGUGAGACUCUCAUCGAAAAGAAAAUAAAAAAAAGAAGAAAGAAUCUCGUGGCUGUCAUUUUUAAUGUUGCUGGUGUGCAGGGAGGCUGUUUUGACUCUUAUUUCCAUUCUUGGGCCACCGGCAGAGCAGGGCAAAGCUAUGAGGUUACAUAGACCUGGCUUAGACCCCAGUCCCAUUCCCCAGCAGCUUCAGGCCCAAGCAACGGUCUCCAUCUCCCUGAACACAGUCUCCUUAUAGGUAAAAUAACUGCAGAGUUGAUGCUGGAAUUAAAUCAAUGCAGUGGCGAGCCCAGCGCUGCAGAGCCCCGUGCUUAGUGACCAAAAUAAUGUCCCGCCUGCCUCAUCUUCCUCUCGGAUUUUUGCCAAGGCCAAACUGCGCGUGUCCCAGAAAAAAACCCUCGGACACUUGGCCUCUGCCCUGUCUCAGCCGAGUGACUAGGAUGACUGGGAAGUGAAUCACAGGAAAAUCACCCAAGCCCACUCUUCUCCACAGCCGGUGAGCAGAAGGAAGGAAGCAAAGAAGGAAGGGAGGAAGGGAAGAAGGGAGAGUUCAGUUCCCUUUCGUCGUUCACACAGUGGUCCUCCACACCAGGAAACCUAAGGGCUCUGUGGAGGGCCAGGUGCCGUGGCAGCAACACUCCUCAGGGCCUGUUUCAGCACCCCAUUUACGUGGCACAUGAAAAAUUCAGGAUGAACGCCCUGGCUGAAAGCUCUUCCUGGGUUUGGGACAUCAGAAGACCUUCCCGGGAUGGGCUCUUGUCUCUGCAGUAGCUAUGACCUGCACAUAAACCUGUUUCCUACACUGUAAAAUUGGCGUAACCACCAUUCCCUCCCAGUCUUUCUCUGGAGUCCUAAUGGGAACAGUGACGGAAUGAAAGUGACCACGCUGGAACCCGAAGCGCUGUUCCCCUCCGUGGCUUCACACUGAUCUCCACACUAGAAUUCCGUGUCUGCAGUUCAAGUUCAAACUACUGUGGUCGGGGAAGGGCUACAGAGAUCUCGCUUGGCCGUGGAGUCACCGGCCCCGUCCAGUCUUGCUUGGGACACAUACUGGUUUACACUCUCUCGGGUUCAGUUUCCUCAUCUGUAAAUGGGGCUCGUAUCCCCCUCAUAAAGUGGUUUGGGGGAUAAUAAAGCUUGUAAAAGCGCUUUGCCCCAGUGCUUGGCA